UACGGAGGGUGCAAGCGUUAUCCGGAUUUACUGGGUUUAAAGGGUGCGUAGGUGGGUCUGUAAGUCAGUGGUGAAAUCUCCGAGCUUAACUCGAAAACUGCCAUUGAUACUAUAGAUCUUGAAUUAUCUGGAGGUAAGCGGAAUAUGUCAUGUAGCGGUGAAAUGCUUAGAUAUGACAUAGAACACCAAUUGCGAAGGCAGCUUACUACGGAUCGAUUGACACUGAGGCACGAAAGCGUGGGGAUCAAACAGG
rnacentral:rRNA from 1 species